AUAGGGACCAAUUUAGCUAAAAAUAUAAACACGUUUAAUGACCUGUUCUCAUGAACCGCUUCAUGAAUCUUCAUCAAACUACUGCUGUAAUUAUUCGUCUAAGGAUAAACGAAACAAAAUUGCAACCCUACGAAACCUUUGCGACAAAUUAAAAGAGAACCAUUUAAAUUGUUAAAGUGCGGUGUUUAGUUUUGCAAUUUGAAAAAUGUUAGAUGAAAGAUGAAUGUUAGAUGAAAAAUUCAUAAACUUCUUUCCUUAUUACAAUUCGCCGACCAUCAUUUUUAAAGAUAUUUCUUGUUUUUAACACUAUCAACUGUAUUUAUAUUGCAAUACACACCGUGUAUUACUUUUAUCCUCCUAUCCAAUCUACUUUUAACUUCUUGUACAGGCGCGCAGCUGCAUAAUACUCGCAGAGAGGAGCGCUGCAGUAUAAAUAGAUAGAUAGAAUUUUUGUUCAAUUUCCGUAGAACGUAGAGGUUUGCCAGCAUUUGGGUGACCAUAGUUGUUACAUACGUAUCGAGCUGCAGUUCGAUGCACUCGUUCAAUUUUGUAUGUGAGGGAUUUUUGCCAAGGGAGACAUAUGGAGGAACAGUAUUCAAGAUGUGGGUUAACAUAAGUGUUGUAAGCUGUUUCUGACAGUUGAACCAGUAGCACUCUUUCAAAACUAGCCGCAACAAAAACCUAAGUUGUGGUUUAGAAAAAUGAACAGUGUCGUACACAAUAUGAAAUGUCGCUAGACAACACCGCAUGUUCGGUUGAAUUGUUACCAUUGUGUAGCAGGUAAGGGCUAGUGAAUGUGUAGAGAAAUCUGCCCGAAGAGCGAAUCACGUGACAUUUGUGUUGUGCGUGAACUCGUGUUCACUCUCAUUCAGUUGUUGGUAGUCAUUGGUGGACAAAGGAGGACAAAGAACGAACACAGGAAGGAAGCUUGGGAGCCAGAGACUGUAGUAUUCCCAUGGAAAUGUGAAAUGGUGCCAGUCCUUAGUAAGUCCUGUAUGUUCCCUGCCUUCAAUCUUCUAGACCUCUACUGCUGGUGUCUUGUGUUCGCUGGUGAGUCUGUGAUUGGUCAUCAACACCAAGAAAUGAGGAGACUUCUUUGUUCUGAUGUCUGCCAUCACUCUACAGUCCUGAGAAUCACCAUAGCGAUGACCUAGGUGUCAGAACAGGAACCAGAACAUACCUUAUUGAAAACCUAGACAUUCUCAUUCUUCCAAUCUGUCAUAAGAUUCAUGGAGGUCAUAGCCAGAUGCCCCUGUUCUAAGAUUCUUUCCUGCAAACCAAGACCAAACUGAUGGAUAAAGUAUCGGCUGAUUCAUUUGUGUCCCUUGCUUGAAGCUGCUUCCUAUGGAAUUUUUUCACGAAGUUAUUGACUGUCAACGUGGCAUGAAGACGGAAUGCACUGAUCAGACCAAAUUUCUCGCUGUUUCCUGGCAGCCAGUGGAAGAGCCAAGAAUACCAGUGCAAGUCAAGUGUUGAAUUUUCCACAAAAUAGCACAGAUUUCGAGCAUUGUUUUCUCUGGUCAGAAAAAAAUCAGAGAAAUAACUUAUCAAUGAUGUAUUCCUGUCUGUUAGUAAUGAUUGAUUGCAGACUGAAUGCUACCAUGGGUCUACUGGCAAGCUGGAAAGAUACAAAGAUAAUUUAUUAAACUUACUGAACAGGACAUUAGAGAAUGUUCAGUUGUGAAAGUGAAAUAGGCAUUAAAAAUAUUAAGAUCAAGUGCAAAUUUGAUGGUUCAUGAUUGACAUUAACACUUACUGAAUGUAACAUUAAAGGAUGUUCAAGUGUGACAGUGAUAUAUAGGCAUUAAACUUUAAAGAUCAAAGUUGUGGUUUAAGAUAAAAUACUGAAAAGAUCUGACAGGGUUUUUUUUGCCCGAUUUUAUAGCCGUUAUUCGGUCAUGUUCCCAAUUGAAAAUAGUAUCUUUUUUUCCCAAUUGAAAGCAAAAAAUUCCCAAUUCAAAUCCAAAAAAAAAAUCAAGAAAAAUCAAUCAGUUUUACCGAGAAAAACAGCAAAUAUAUAUUUACUCCCGCAUCUUGAUUUGUAAAUUUCCUGAUGAUUGGUCGCCCGCCAUCUUGAAUUUGAAAAAACACAUUGGUAUGAAAAUAACCGAUAAUUUAGCGAUAAAGUUAUAAAAACUUACCCAGCUUACAAUGAAUCAAUUAUAAAUGCAAUGCCCUAGUUAUGUUUUCAUAAAUAAUUUAUCAAAAUGUUUUUAUAAGGCCGAAAUUUGAGUUCAAAGUGCCUGGCCGCAAGCGUCACUAUACUCCGAAAUUUCGAGUUGAAAUUUUGACACAAAAUACGUUCGUUCAACUUAAAUGAUAUUAUUUAUUUUGCAUUUAGGGGUUAUAUUUGUCUAGCAUUGAAUUAAGAUAAUAAAAAGGAAGAGAAUUAAGUUUAAAUUACCAAAUUUUUCGAGUUAUAUUGGAAAAACAACGGACAGCGACGCUUGCGGGCACCUGUUAUAACUUGGAAUUUGGAUAACAUCUUUUCGGAUACGAACGUUCAAGCAUACUUUAUCGGAUCCUGUUAUGUGUGACGACUUUCUAGCAUUUAAUUUUCAUUUUGAAGUUUAAUAGUGAAAUGUUAUGCAAUCAUCGCCUUCUGUAGCACAGUGAAAUAUCCUAGUAUCUUCUGUCAGCAGAUAAAAAUUGCUGGGAAGAAAUGAAAAAUGAUUGACUCGACUUCUUUCAGACUUACAGUCAUUAAAACAUUCAACUUUAUUUAUUUGUGUAAGAUGACUUUCUCUUCGAUUUAUUAUAGUUGUGCUUAAUUGUUUUUGCCCUGUCCGUCCGUCCGUCCGUCCGUACGUCACACUUCAUUUCCGAGCAAUAACUGGAGAACCAUUUGACCUAGAACCUUCAAACUUCAUAGGGUUGUAGGGCUGCUGUAGUAGACGACCCCUAUUGUUUUUGAGGUCACUCCGUCAAAGGUCAAGGUCACAGGGGCCUGAACAUUGAAAACCAUUUCCGAUCAAUAACUAGAGAACCACUUGACCCAGAAUGUUGAAACGCCAUAGGAUGAUUGGUCAUGAAGAGUAGAUGACCCCUAUUGAUUUUGGGGUCACUCCGUCAAAGGUCAAGGUCACAGGGGCCUGAACAUUGAAAACCAUUUCCGAUCAAUAACUAGAGAACCAC